rnacentral:misc_RNA from 1 species
GAUGAAGAACGUAGCGAAUUGCGAUAUGUAAUGUGAAUUGCAGAAUUCAGUGAAUCAUCGAAUCUUUGAACGCACAUUGCGCCCCCUGGUAUUCCGGGGGGCAUGCCUGUCCGAGCGUCAUUGCUGCCCUCAAGCACGGCUUGUGUGUUGGGCCUCCGUCCUCCUCCCGGGGGACGGGCCCGAAAGGCAGCGGCGGCACCGCGUCCGGUCCUCGAGCGUAUGGGGCUUCGUCACCCGCUCUUGUAGGCCCGGCCGGCGCUUGCCGACACAUCAAUCUUUUUUCCAGGUUGACCUCGGAUCAGGUAGGGAUACCCGCUGAACUUAAGCAUAUCAAUAAGCGGAGGA